CCGCCGCACGCCACUAUCUUCUCUUCCUCUUCUCUUCUUUAUCCGCCAUUUUCUAUGAGAAUAAGAGGAGAUGUCAUUCUCCUCUCCUCUCCGCCCCUCUUCCGCGUCUCAAUAGUCGCCCUACUCCAUUCCCUCUCCGCCAGCACUAGCAGCUGCUCUUCCUCUCUUCUGCAGCGCUGCCGCUCCAGUGGACAACAGAUCCGCUUGGCAAGCCACCAAGAACCAACGACUCCAAACAGCAGCAGUCGGUGACAGCAACCAGCAGCAGCCGUGACAGCAACAGGCGAUGAACCACCAACAUUUGCUCGAUAGAAAAAAAAAUAAUAGCGACACAAAAGGCUGCUCCGACCAGUUUGCACUCUUUUAUGGACGAGAGAAAACUACUGAGCUCUCAUCAAGCAUACUAUCGAGCUACCGAGAUAUAAAAGAAGAGAAGAGUAUACGGAUCUGAAACAAAAACAUACUACAUGAAGCAAAUGUUCCUCUUAAGAAUAAUUGAUAUGUUUCUUUUCAUAUUUUGCAUCGGAAGUAUAUGAUUUUGACUUUCUAUCUACAGAUUUUGAACACACAUAAUAUUAUUUUAUACAAAUGUUUGUUAUCGUAGAGGUAUUCAGUAAUUGUUAUUUAAUUUAUUUUAGCAGUGUAUGUUUAAAAAAAAUGAAAUGAUUUUACAAGAAAAAUUUUAGCAACAAAUUUAAUGACGAUUUGGUUAUUACUAUAAAAAAAUGUUGGCAAUGGAUUAGCAAUGAAACAUUUAAGUGGACUUUGCGAUGGGUCAAAUAACAGAAUAUUUUGUGACAAAUUAGUGACAGAAAUUUCAUUGCGAAUUUAUUAUAAUUGACGAAAUUAAUUAUGAAAUUAGUGACGAGCUAUAAAAGUAUAACGACGGACCAAUCUGUCACUAACAAGUUGCGACGGAAAUCGUUCGUCUCUAUUACGUCGCUAAAUUUGCGACGAAACUCAUAUUUUCGUCGCUAAGAGAUUACUAUGAGAGAAAUAGCAAAAACCAACAAUCCGUCGCUAAUCCAGUUUAGUGACAAAAUAACAUAGAUUAGCGACAAAUUUCGUCAGUCGCUAAAUGUUAUUUUUUUGUAGUGACCAUGGAACGACAUCCAGUCGCAAUCAACCCACAAUAUAUCUUCAAUCUUGAACCAACUCCAAUCCCAAGUUGCCUAGUGAAGAGCAAAACCUCAAAGGGUUGUAGAAAGAGGAAGAGGGAGGAAAAAGGUCGCCAAAGUAGGAACACCAUUUAAAAUAAGGUUCAUUCUAUCAUAUUUAAUUCUACUACACUAGUGUACAAGUAACUAAGUUGUCCAAAUCGAUUACCACUAAAAAACUGCC
rnacentral:lncRNA from 1 species